CCAAUAGCGUAUAUUAAAGUUGUUGCAGUUAAAAAGCUCGUAGUUGAAUUUCGGGAUCAAGGAAUCGGUCAUGCCUCGGUAUGUACUGGUUUUAUUGGUUCUCACCUUCUAAAGAACCAUAAUGUCAUUUAUUUGGUGUUAUGGGGAAUUAGGACUGUUACCUUGAAAAAAUUAGAGUGUUUAAAGCAAGCUUACGCUUGAAUACAUUAGCAUGGAAUAA
rnacentral:rRNA from 1 species